rnacentral:rRNA from 1 species
GUGGAUUAAUACCGGAUGUGGCUGUAUGAACUGCGGUUUUAACAGUUAAAGAUUCAUUGCUUCGGGAUGAGCUCGCGGUCCAUCAGCUUGUUGGUGAGGUAAUGGCUCACCAAGGCGACGACGGAUAGCUGGUCUGAGAGGAUGACCAGUCACACUGGGACUGAGACACUGCCCAGACUCCUACGGGAGGCUGCAGUCGAGAAUCUUCCGCAAUGGGCGCAAGCCUGACGGAGCAAUGCUGCGUGCCGGAUGAAGGCCUUCGGGUCGUAAACGGCUGUCACUCGGGACGAAUUUUGACGGUACCGAGAGAGGAAGCCACGGCUAACUACGUGCCAGCAGCCGCGGUAAUACGUAGGUGGCGAGCGUUAUUCGGAAUUAUUGGGCCUAGAGGGUUCGUAGGGGGUAAUGUAAGUCCGGUGUGAAAUCUCGAGGCUCAACCUCGAAACUGCAUUGGAAACUGCGUUACUUGAGUGUCAGAGAGGAAAGCGGAAUUCCUGGUGUAGCGGUGGAAUGCGUAGAUAUCAGGAAGAACACCGACGGCGAAGGCAGCUUUCUGGCUGACAACUGACCCUGAUGAACGAAAGCUAGGGUAGCGAACAGGAUUAGAUACCCUGGUAGUCCUAGCUGUAAACGUUGUGCACUGGAUGUGGGCGGAUUUGGUCCCGUCUGUGUCUGAGCGAAGGCGUUAAGUGCACCGCCUGGGGACUACGGCCGCAAGGCUAAAACUCAAAGGAAUUGACGGGGGCCCGCACAAGCGGUGGAGCAUGUGGCUCAAUUCGAGGCAACGCGAAGAACCUUACCUGGGUUUGACAUAUACCUGACCGCCGGUGAGAGCCGGUUUCUCUUUGAGCAGGUAUACAGGUGCUGCAUGGCUGUCGACAGCUCGUGCUGUGAAGUGUUCGGUUAAGUCCGGCAACGAGCGCAACCCACGCUGUUAGUUACCAUCAGGUGAAGCUGGGGACUCUAACAGGACUGCCCGUGCUAAGCGGGAGGAAGGCGUGGACGACGUCAAGUCCGCAUGGCCCUUACGCCCAGGGCUGCACACGUGCUACAAUGGCCGGUACAGAGGGUCGCCACUCUGCGAAGAGGAGCUAA